CUCUGUCACCCGCCUCCGCACUUAUCCCGCAACAAUCACAAUCGAUUCCAGAAAAAGACCUACAAUUGCAACCCCAAUAUCCUCCCGGGAGCUCUCCCCGUCGACCGCACAACGCCCUCAUCGGCACGCUCUUCGCCGGAGCGGCCCAGAGCGGCGUGCGCUGGAAGCUGGAUCCGGGAAGGAGUGCGGCCACAAGCGGGAGACAAGGGGAGGCGCGGUUGUGCUCUCUCUGGUCGCCGGCGCGGCCACCAGAGGGGAGACGGCCAGGGGAAGCGGCGGCCUACGACUCUGUAGGGGAUGCAGCGUCUGGCGGGAGGGGGCGCGCAGUAGGGAAGGCAGCGGUCGGAUCCAGGCGCGGGUGAGGCCUGAAUGCCACACGGGGCCCAUGGCGGCCAGAUCCGGGCCACGCAUGGGAGUCGGUGGUGUCCCGCCGAUGCGUAAAGGAAGCACGGGGCGGCGCGUCAGUGUGUCGUCGUGCACAGCACCGUGCGGGGUGAGCGAUGGGAUGCAAACAACAUUGUAGGCGCCGAUGCCGCACAUGCUUGAUUUGCUGCUGCCGCCGCCUCCGCUUGAGGUCUACGGACGCUGUCGACGAGUUAUGAGGCGGAACCAUCGAGCACCGAGCUGGAAACGACACCAUCGAGGAUGACAGACCGCCACCGAGGCUGAUUGUUGUGGACGCGCCUGCCCACUACAAGUCUCCUAUCGCUGUUGUGUUCCGAGCAGCCAGAGAACUACAGGUGCACGACUCCUGCAACCUGGUAUUUGAGAUGCAUUUCCCAAUCGUCCUGAUUAUGGACUUCUGCUCACGUUUGGAGCGAUCUGAAUUAAAACAAGAAUUCUGUGGAGUCUGCUUGAAUCAAUUGUUCAUCUCUACAUUAACGAAUAGUGAGAUUACCAGAGCAUCCUGGGCCUCCGACUUCUUGAUAUGAUCACUGGAUUGUUCUUUAAUAUUUAACAACCAAGACUGUUCUUUCCUGCAAAAAAUAUAUUUUCUGUCAUGAACUACUAAUGUCACUAUGAUGUCUCAAAGAGCUUUCUUAUAAGUUUGUGGUUAUGCACAUAUACAUGAUCUGGUAAAGGGGGAGACAAUGCAAGUGGCAGAGAUAGAAAGGUAGAGGUGGAAGAAGAGGGUGUGGUAGAGGAAGAGAAAGUCAUGCCAAACAGAAGUGGCAGGGGUUGAGGAAGGUCAGGUACAAGCUGAAGAUUAGGAGGAAGAUUUACAACCCAGUGUUGAAGGAUGUGUCACAUUUUGUUUGGCCGUAGCUACAAUCCAAAAGGGAGAAAUGCAGAAGAAUUUGUUCAGACUUGAAACAUGUGUGAUCGAGGAGAGAGCAACACCCAGCAGUCUGCACUACACACUUGACAUAUGUACAAAGGAUUUAUGUGGGCACAUGACAUACCCGUACAUAUUGUGAAAGUUUACAAGAGAAGCAUGUUGUUCUAAAUGAAUAGUCGCAAAUACGGACCUGGCCAUGGAAAGAUGAACACUAAUUGGCCACAAAUGAGCUACAUUGUUCAGGUUAUGAGUAGUUCUACCUUUAUUAGGCUUGCACAUCUGGUUUGUCCGUCAGUUAGUUCUCUUGACUGGUUUUCAUGGUGCACAAACUUGUAUCUUACAACUUAGAUGAAUUAUGUCAUUUGACCGGCUUAUGUGGAUUCCACUUAUUUCUAUGCACACUUGCAUAUCAAAUUUAUUUUAUUCCCGGUGCCUAUUGUAAUGUCCGUUUCAUAGGAACCAAAUAGAAGGAAAUAGGAUUGGUAUUUUUCUGAUUGGAAAUAGUAUACCUUAUAUUUAGUUAA